AACGAACGCUGGCGGCGUGGAUUAGGCAUGCAAGUCGCGCGCUUCCCUUCGGGGAGGAGCGGCGGAAGGGGGAGUAACGCGUAGAUACCUGCCCUCGGGACCGGAAUAGCGACGGGAAACUGUCGGUAAUGCCGGAUAACGUCCCUGGACCAAAGGUGUGAUUCCGCCUGAGGAGGGGUCUGCGUCCUAUUAGCUAGUCGGCGGGGUAACGGCCCACCGAGGCGAAGAUGGGUACCGGGCGUGAGAGCGUGACCCGGCUCACUGGGACUGAGACACUGCCCAGACACCUACGGGUGGCUGCAGUCGAGAAUCUUCGGCAAUGAGCGCAAGCUUGACCGAGCGACGCCGCGUGCGGGAUGAAGGCCUUCGGGUUGUAAACCGCUGUCAGUGGGGAGGAAAUUCGUGGGGGUUCUCCCCCUCGAUUGACCGAUCCGCAGAGGAAGGACGGGCUAAGUUCGUGCCAGCCGCCGCGGUAACAC
rnacentral:rRNA from 1 species